AUGUUUGAGCCGGAUAAAUAUCCCGGCCUUGAUGAUUAUUACGAGGAGAAGCAUCGUGCUGUGCUAGUGGAAAGAGGGGAGGUUCCUCCAGUACUUCGUUUGAGAGGCCACAACCCACGUGAGUCCUUGAGGUAUGACUGUCGCUAUGAGCCUUAUUUUAGAAGAAUGGAUCUUCUCCAGUUUGUGCUCAACUUUAAAGGCACACCACCAUGGCUGAACUCGACGGCCAUUACCGCCCUUACGGACCGUUGGAGACCGGAGACGCACUCUUUUCACCUUGCUCUUGGUGAGAUGACCGUUACUUUGGAGGAUAUUGCGAUGAUCUCCGGUCUUCCGAUCGAGGGUAGGGCUCUUACCGGGAAGGUGAAGUCUGAGGGGUGGCGACAAAGGGUCGCAGGUUUGGUUGGUGUUGAACCUCCCCCGUGGAUUCAUGAAACAAAGAAGGGUCCUAGGCCAUCUGGUGUUUUGUUCUCGUGGCUACAAGAACAUUUUUACGAGUGCCCAGAGAAUGCCAGUCCGGCUGUUGUGGAGAGGUACGCCAGGGCUUACUUAUGGAAUCUUUUGAUCCAAGUGGUGUUUCCUGACGGCACGGGAGACACAGCCUCGUGGAUGUUCUUGGACCCUCUUCGUAACUGGGAUGUCAAGUGGAGUUGGGGG
rnacentral:rRNA from 1 species